CCUACGGGGGACUGCAGUAGGGAAUAUUGCUCAAUGGGGGAAACCCUGAAGCAGCAACGCCGCGUGGAGGAUGAAGGUUUUCGGAUUGUAAACUCCUUUUGUUAGAGACGAUAAUGACGGUAUCUAACGAAUAAGCCCCGGCUAACUCCGUGCCAGCAGCCGCGGUAAUACGGAGGGUGGAAGCGUUACUCGGAAUCACUGGGCGUAAGGAGCGCGGAGGCGGGAUAGCAAGUCAGAUGUGAAAUCCUAUGGCUUAACCAUAGAACUGCAUUUGAAACUGUUAGUCUAGAGUAUGGGAGAGGUAGGUGGAAUUCUUGGUGUAGGGGUAAAAUCCGUAGAGAUCAAGAGGAAUACUCAUUGCGAAGGCGACCUGCUAGAACAUAACUGACGCUGAUGCGCGAAAGCGUGGGGAGCAAACAGGAUUAGAUACCCCGGUAGUC
rnacentral:rRNA from 1 species